rnacentral:lncRNA from 1 species
AGGCUCUGGGAGGUCGCGAUAGGCCCAGUUGCCACCAGUCGCUGGUUUCCGGCCUUGGUAAAGCGCCGCGUCCUUAGCGUGGGUGUCGGGAAGGCGCCCUCGGAGACCUCCCUCCCGACGCCAGCCGCGCUCCACUGGGGGCGAGGCCUGGUCAGGCCUGCCGCGCCCGAGCUCACUUUCACUUCUUUGUUCUACUUGUUGCAAGAAGGAACAUCUGGCUCCGCGCCUGGAGAGCAGACUGGAUCCCGCCAUGCACCUGCCCCAGGAGGAGGAGGAGGCGCACUUGACACUGACAAAAGGUCCUGUGUCCGAGCACCAGUGGGAGAGCCGACGAGCAGGGAAAAGCUCCAGUGGCUGAGACGGUUAGCUGAGUAAGCACAUGCUGCCUGGAAACGACAGUUGCUGCAGAGAGUGACAAGGGGUCCUCCAUAGGCCACAGCUUCCCGAAUCAAGAACAGGUGCAGUCACACCCCCUCCGCAAACAAAGAUAUUUUGUUUGAAUGGGCACAACGUGGAAUAAUGGGAUGUAUUAAUAGCUAAAUAGUGUCUUUAUUAACAGUAGAACAGCUGGCAGUUCUCUAUGACAGCGCUCAUUCCAAUCCAUUUUAUCCAAUUGCAGAACUAUAAGCACGCUCCACCAGGGGACCACACGCAAGCAAUCAGCCAUUCAACAGCUCUCUAAUUGCUUCACAGUUGGAAGUGUGUUCUCCUCAGCCACUGUUAUUCUUUCAGGAGGAAUUGUUGGUGCACUAGCCUAUCUAGAAUCAAGUGCUGCUGAUGCAGAUAAGCUGCUUGAAGAAACUUCCUUUGUUUUAUGAGGCCAGGCUAGCCCUCCCUCCACGGAUGGAGUCACUCCCUGGGCCUGGCUGAUCAGAAAUCCCGGGUGCCAGGAGGGAGGCUGCUGCGGGUCUCAGCAUCUCUGUUAUCUCCUAGCAAAGCGAUGCCCCUAAAGAGGGAAAAAUAAACUCCCAACUCAUAAAGAUCCUGUUAGGCCC